rnacentral:lncRNA from 1 species
CUGAUCUAACUGUGCCAUCAUCAUCUACUCCAACUGUGGCAUCUUCAUCUGCUCCAACUGUGCCAUCAUCAUCUACUCCAACUGUGCCAUCAUCAUCUACUCCAACUGUGCCAUCAUCAUCUACUCCAACUGGUUAGUGUAUAUGUUUCAACUCUGCAAUAUGAGUUUAAAUAAAAUUUAUUUUUAAGAUUAUGUAUAAUGCUUUGUUAUUUCUUUUUAAGUGACAUCUUCAUCUGU